CAACCUCGGAACUGCCCUUGAAACUGGGAAGCUAGAAUCUUGGAGAGGCGAGUGGAAUUCCGAGUGUAGAGGUGAAAUUCGUAGAUAUUCGGAAGAACACCAGUGGCGAAGGCGACUCGCUGGACAAGUAUUGACGCUGAGGUGCGAAAGCGUGGGGAGCAAACAGGAUUAGAUACCCCAGUAGUCCUAGCCGUAAACGAUGGAUACUAGGUGUUGUCUGUAUCGACCCGGACAGUGCCGUAGCUAACGCGUUAAGUAUCCCGCCUGGGGAGUACGCACG
rnacentral:rRNA from 1 species